UACGUAGGGGGCAAGCGUUGUCCGGAUUUAUUGGGCGUAAAGCGCUCGCAGGUGGUCCGUCGCGUCGUGCGUGAAAGCCCCCGGCUCAACUGGGGAGUGCCGUGCGAUACGGGCGGACUGGAGGCCAGUAGGGGGAUGCGGAAUUCCGGGUGUAGUGGUGGAAUGCGUAGAGAUCCGGAGGAACACCAGCGGCGAAGGCGGCAUCCUGGACUGGUCCUGACACUCAUGAGCGAAAGCCAGGGGAGCAAACGGG
rnacentral:rRNA from 1 species